CUCUCUGAACUGCAGAACAUGGACAUUAUCAAACAUGGCCUCCUCAUACUUUUGCUCUGGAUUAAAGGUCUUAUUGCUGAUGAUGAUGUCAUCCAGGUUCCCAUACUGUGGGAAAAAAAGGGCGACAAUGCAACAAUAAACUGCAGCCACACCAAGGAUGCUGGCUACAACCAGAUGUACUGGUACAGACAGCUGCCGGGAGAAGCAGUGAAACAAAUAGUGUUCACUACAGCAAACACCAAACCUGACUUUGAAGCAGACUUCAAAGAUGAGAGAUUUGGAGCCACCAAGCCUGACGCUCACAGUGGGACAUUCACAGUGAAGAAUCUGGUGCCAGAAGAUAAAGGCUUGUAUUUCUGUGCUGUGAGUGAGCACAGUGAUACAGACACAUGUGAAAGCUGA